rnacentral:rRNA from 1 species
GACGAACGCUGGCGGCGUGCUUAACACAUGCAAGUCGAACGGAAAGGCCCUGCUUUUGUGGGGUGCUCGAGUGGCGAACGGGUGAGUAACACGUGAGUAACCUGCCCUUGACUUUGGGAUAACUUCAGGAAACUGGGGCUAAUACCGGAUAGGAGCUCCUGCUGCAUGGGGGGGGUUGGAAAGUUUCGGCGGUUGGGGAUGGACUCGCGGCUUAUCAGCUUGUUGGUGGGGUAGGGGCUUACCAAGGCUUUGACGGGUAGCCGGCCUGAGAGGGUGACCGGCCACAUUGGGACUGAGAUACGGCCCAGACUCCUACGGGACGCAGCAGUGGGGAAUAUUGCACAAUGGGCCGAAGCCUGAUGCAGCAACGCCGCGUGCGGGAUGACGGCCUUCGGGUUGUAAACCGCUUUCGCCUGUGACGAAGCGUGAGUGACGGUAAUGGGUAAAGAAGCACCGGCUAACUACGUG